UACGUAGGGUGCGAGCGUUGUCCGGAAUUAUUGGGCGUAAAGAGCUCGUAGGCGGCUUGUCACGUCGAUUGUGAAAGCCCGAGGCUUAACCUCGGGUCUGCAGUCGAUACGGGCUAGCUAGAGUGUGGUAGGGGAGAUCGGAAUUCCUGGUGUAGCGGUGAAAUGCGCAGAUAUCAGGAGGAACACCGAUGGCGAAGGCAGGUCUCUGGGCAUUAACUGACGCUGAGGAGCGAAAGCAUGGGGAGCGAACAGG
rnacentral:rRNA from 1 species